UACGGAAGGGGCAAGCGUUGUUCGGAAUCAUUGGGCGUAAAGGGCGCGUAGGUGGUUCUGUAUGUCUAUCGUGAAAGCAUACAGCUCAACUGUAUUUUGUCGGUAGAAACUGCAGGACUUGAGGCUGGGAGGGGCUGGUGGAAUUCCCCUGUGUAGCGGUGAAAUGCGUAGAGAUGGGGGAGAACACUCGUGGCGAAGGCGGCCAGCUAGACCAGUUCUGACACUGAGGCGCGACAGCGUGGGGAGCAAACAGG
rnacentral:rRNA from 1 species